UGCCACUGCCACCACUGAGACCAUGGAAACCACGGAAACCACCAAGGUAUCUGACAUCACGUCUGCCACCAUGGAGACCAGCACCAUCUGGACUGAGCCCAGCAGCACUGCCACCACUGAGACCAUGGAGGUCACCGAGGUAUCUGAGGUCACCUUGGCCACCACAGAGCCAGGAACCACCGUGACCAAACCUAUUCCCACUGCCACCACCGCGACCAUGGAAGCCACUGAGGAAUCGGAAGCAACACUGGCCACCAUGGAGUCCAGCGUCACAAUGACCGAGCCCAGCAGCACUGCCACCACUGAGACCACGGAGGUCACCGAGGUAUCUGUGGUCACCUUGGCCACCACAGAGCCAGGAACCACUGUAACUGAGCCUAUUGCCACUGCCACCACCGCCACCAUGGAAGCUACGGAGGCAUCGGAGGCCACGUUACCCACCACGGAGACCAACAUCACAAUGACUGAGCCCAGCAGCACUGCCACCACUGAGACCACAGUGGUCACUGAAGUGUCUGAGGUCACGUUGGCCACCACAGAGCCAGGAAGCACAGUGUUUGAACCCAGCACCACUCCCACCAUCCGGACCACAGAAGCCACUGAGACAUCGGAGGCCACAUUGUCUACUACGGAGCCCAGCAUCACCAUAACUGAAUCCAGUUCCACUGCCACCCCUGAGACCACGGUGGCCACCACGGAGCCAGGAACCACCGUGACUGAGCCUAUGGCCACUGCCACCACUGAGACCAUGGAAACCACCGAGGUAUCAGAGAUCACGUUGACCACCACAGAGCCCAGCACCACUACCGAGACCACGGUGGUCACUGAGUCAUCAGAGGCCACUUUGGCUACCACAGAGCCCAGCAUCACCAUGACCGAGCCCAGCACUACUGCUACACCUGAGACCACAGUGGUCACCGAAGUAUCUGAGGUCACGUUGGCAACCACAAUGCCAGGAGCCACCGUGAAUGAGUCCACUGCCACUGCCACCACUGGGACCAUGGAAGCCACGGAGGCAUCGGAGGCCACUCUGGCCACCACGGAGCCCAGCAUCACCAUGACCCAGCCCAGCAGCACUGCCACUAUUGAGACUACGGUGUUCACCGAGGUAUCUGAGGUCACAUUGGCCACCACGGAGCCAGGAACCACCGUGACUGAGCCCAGAACCACUGCCAGCACUGCAACCAUGGGAGCCACCGGGGUUUCUCAGGUCACAUCUGCCGCCACGGAGCCAGGAACCACCACCACUGAGCCCAGGACCACUGCCACCACUGGGACCACUGGGGACGCUGUGGUAUCAGAGUCUACAUUGGUCACCACGGAGCCCAGCAUCACUGUGACCCCGCCCAGCUCAAUUUUCACCACCUGGACAUCAGGUCACACCGAACCCUCAGGGGACACGUCUGCCACCACUUGGCCAACAACUACCUUGACCAUCCCAACCUCAACCGUCACCAAGUGGACCUCAGGGAGUACUGAGGAUUAUGGGGACACCUCGGCCACCACUGAGCCUUCUUCUACCAUGAGCACAUUGAGC
rnacentral:lncRNA from 1 species